GAUGAACGCUGGCGGCGUGCCUAAUACAUGCAAGUCGAGCGAACAGAUGAGGAGCUUGCUCCUCUGACGUUAGCGGCGGACGGGUGAGUAACACGUGGAUAACCUACCUAUAAGACUUGGAUAACUUCGGGAAACCGGAGCUAAUACCGGAUAAUAUAUUGAACCGCAUGGUUCAAUAGUGAAAGACGGUUUUGCUGUCACUUAUAGAUGGAUCCGCGCCGCAUUAGCUAGUUGGUAAGGUAACGGCUUACCAAGGCAACGAUGCGUAGCCGACCUGAGAGGGUGAUCGGCCACACUGGAACUGAGACACGGUCCAGACUCCUACGGGAGGCAGCAGUAGGGAAUCUUCCGCAAUGGGCGAAGGCCUGACGGAGCAACGCCGCGUGAGUGAUGAAGGUCUUCGGAUCGUAAAACUCUGUUAUUAGGGAAGAACAAAUGUGUAAGUAACUAUGCACGUCUUGACGGUACCUAAUCAGAAAGCCACGGCUAACUACGUG
rnacentral:rRNA from 1 species